CACCAUCCUCCUUAAUUUUGCCGCCUCUUACGUUGAAAACCUUAAAAGUUGGAUACGCUAUGGAGCAUUCCCACCCUUCUCCUCAAUUAUCCCUGAUGAUGAAAACCUUAAUGCUCACGCGUAUUUUCUUUCAUCCACGAUAAACAAUGUCACCAUCGGAAGCUUCAACCGUGAUUCCCAUCAGGGCUUCACUUGGGGUUCCUCCACUUCUCAUGGUGUAUAAUAAUGCAAGAGCCAAGUCAAAUGAUGAGCAUAUUGUUUAUUGAGCUGCAUUGCAGGGAUGAGGAGGACUAGAGACGAUCAUGUUUCCGAGGGUGAUUUUCAUCUUACGCUGCCGAUUGUCUCUGAAUUGUAAGUCUCUAAUUGAAUACUUAACAUCAUUUGGCUUCAUAAAUACAUUCUAUUGGUAAAUUCUUGAUUAUGAACUCUACUGCAACU